UAGGUCUGAGUUGGAUGUAAUUUCAAAAACUGUGCUAUUAAUUUAAGAAAUAUAGUGAUAAAUCUGGGGAUAUUACAAAAUCCCGCGAUAGGACAGAUUAUCUCGCGAGAUAGUGGUGACGUCACGCGUUCUUCCGGAAGUUCACAUUCAAACACGAGGAGCGAUUACGAGGGAGUUCUGUCUAUAUAUCAUUCAAAAUCUACUGUUGGGAAAAGUAGAGUCUCAUCCAAAUAAAAAUAAACAAGCUGUUAAAGGCACUGUGUCCUACACAGACCCUCCAAAAUAUAACCACCCAAAACCCAAGUCAGUUGAAGGUCAACACAAACCAAAUAAAGAUGUGCAUUGCAUUCUACAAACAAUAAAAAAAGAUCAAGUUUUGUGUCCACCACACUUAGAUGAGGCGUGCCCGACCCCUGACUUUGUCUACCCUACAUUAAGUUGCACACUUCAUGACAGUAAACAUCGGUAUCACAAUGGUGUGAUUGAUCUAUACCCUAGAAUAAGCUGUGACACUAUGAGACGUGAGGUAACACAACGAAAAAAUUACCGGAUGGAGACUACCUGAUUCUUCACCUAUGGCCUCAGCUUCAAAUGCAACAUGUCCAGCAACUGUCUGAGUUGGUGGAUAUUCUGUCAGAGACUGCGUGAACAACGUUAUGAACAGAAUGAUGUCAAAUUGUCUUAUGGCAAAGUUCAAUAUGAGGGGUGGUGGACAUCUGGAAAAGAAGUCUUUUAAAGGCACACCUUUGUAUUAUGUUAUUCAAGAUGCUGUGAAGAGGUGGAGCCCAAAUGCCACAGACUCGGAAAUAGAUGCAGCUAUGGCAGACCACCUCAAGCACGCUCCAGGAAGAGCUGGGGGUGGUGGAUACAAAAAAGCCAAACAGCUGUGAUGUGUUAAAGAGAGAGUUCACCAAAAAAGGAAAAUUGUUAUAAUUUUCUUAUCCACAUCUUUCAAACCUGUAUACCUUUAUAUUUUCUGCUGAACACAAAGAUUGAAGAAUGUUUGUAACUUCACAACCAAUUAACUGUCAAUAUUUUUUUUUACAAUUGUAGUAAUGGGUUGUGGGAUCUGCUUUGUUAAAAACAUUCUUUCACAUAUCUUUGUGUUCAGCAGAACAUAGAAGGGUAUACAGGUUUGAAACAUGAGAGGGAAUAAAUUACUAAAUAUUAAUUUUUGGGUGAACUAUCCCUUUAUAGAAAGUGUUUUGAAGUUGUUAUUAUAGUUAAAUGGUUAAAAAAAAUAAAAAGUGCUAAAUCAGAA